rnacentral:misc_RNA from 1 species
GAUGAAGAACGUAGCGAAACGCGAUACGUAAUGUGAAUUGCAGAAUUCAGUGAAUCAUCGAAUCUUUGAACGCACCUUGCGCCCCUCGGCAUUCCGAGGGGCAUGCCUGUUUGAGUGUCACGGAUCCUUCGAACCCCGCCGGUCUCCGACGAGCCGGCCGCCUGGGUUCGGUCCUGGGCGCUACGCCACCCCUCCGGGGCUGGUCCGCCUCAAAAGCAUCAGCUGGGCCUCGCGGCGUGGGCGGGCUCCGAUCGGCGUGAUAAGUCAUCUGCCGAGAGGGUGCCCGUCCGUCCCGCGGAUCGCGGUCCGCUCCCAACCCCUCCCCGCGCGCCGUCCCCCCCCGGGGAGCGCACGGGGACGUUUCGACGCUCUGGCCUCAAAUCAGGUAGGACCACCCGCUGAACUUAAGCAUAUCAAUAAGCGGAGGA